rnacentral:rRNA from 1 species
UACGGGGGGGGCGAGCGUUGUUCGGAAUUACUGGGCGUAAAGGGUUUGUAGGUGGUCUGCUAAGUCAGACGUGAAAUCCCUCAGCUUAACUGGGGAACUGCGUCUGAUACUGGCGGACUUGAGGACAGGAGAGGAACGCGGAAUUCCAGGUGUAGCGGUGAAAUGCGUAGAUAUCUGGAGGAACACCGGUGGCGAAGGCGGCGUUCUGGACUGUCUCUGACACUGAAGAACGAAAGCCAGGGGAGCAAACGGG